rnacentral:tRNA from 1 species
GCCAUUAGCUCAGUUGGUAGAGCAUCUGACUUUUAAUCAGAGGGUCGAAGGUUCGAGUCCUUCANUA